GAGCACUACGGGGCGUGUGGAGCGGUAAUACGUGGGGGGCGAGGGGUGUCCGGAGUUAUUGGGGCGAAAGAGCGUGUAGGCGGCCAGGCAGGUCAGCUGUGAAAACGCGAGGCUCAACCGCGAGACGUCGGUUGAAACCGUCUGGCUAGAGUGCGGAAGAGGAGAGUGGAAUUCCCGGUGUAGCGGUGAAAUGCGCAGAUAUCGGGAAGAACACCCGUGGCGAAGGCGGCUCUCUGGGACGGUACUGACGCUGAGACGCGAAAGCGUGGGGAGCGAACAGGAUUAGAUACCCUUGUAGUC
rnacentral:rRNA from 1 species